UACGUAGGGUGCGAGCGUUGUCCGGAAUUACUGGGCGUAAAGGGCCAGUAGGCGGCCAACUAAGUCGGAUGUGAAAUCCCCAGGCUUAACCUGGGAACUGCAUCCGAUACUGGAUGGCUUGAAUCCGGGAGAGGGAUGCAGAAUUCCAGGUGUAGCGGUGAAAUGCGUAGAUAUCUGGAGGAAUACCGGUGGCGAAGGCGGCAUCCUGGACCGGCAUUGACGCUGAGGAGCGAAAGCUAGGGGAGCAAACGGG
rnacentral:rRNA from 1 species